UACGAAGGGGGCUAGCGUUGCUCGGAAUUACUGGGCGUAAAGGGAGCGUAGGCGGAUAGUUCAGUCAGAGGUGAAAGCCCAGGGCUCAACCUUGGAACUGCCUUUGAUACUGGCUAUCUUGAGUUUGGGAGAGGUGUGUGGAACUCCGAGUGUAGAGGUGAAAUUCGUAGAUAUUCGGAAGAACACCAGUGGCGAAAGGCGACACACUGGCCCAAUACUGACGCUGAGGCUCGAAAGCGUGGGGAGCAAACAGGG
rnacentral:rRNA from 1 species